ACGAAGGAUGCAAGCGUUAUCCGGAUUCAUUGGGUUUAAAGGGAGCGUAGGCGGACUUGUAAGUCAGUGGUGAAAUCUGUGGGCUUAACCCACAAACUGCCAUUGAUACUGCAGGUCUAGAGUACAGUUGCCGUUGGCGGAAUAUGACAUGUAGUGGUGAAAUACUUAGAUAUGUCAUAGAACACCGAUUGCGAAGGCAGCUAACGAAGCUGUAACUGACGCUGAGGCUCGAAAGUGCGGGGAUCAAACAGGAUUAGAUACCCUGGUAGUCCGCACUGUAAACGAUGAUUACUCGUUGCUGGGGAGCAAUUUCCAGUGACCAAGCGAAAGCGAUAAGUAAUCCACCUGGGGAGUACGCCGGCAACGGUG
rnacentral:rRNA from 1 species